rnacentral:rRNA from 1 species
UACGUAGGGGGGCAAGCGUUGUCCGGAAUCAUUGGGCGUAAAGCGCGCGUAGGCGGCCCGGUAAGUCCGCUCUGAAAGUCCAGGGCUUAACCCUGGAAAGCGGGUGGAUACUGCCGGGCUUGAAUCCGGAAGAGGCGAGUGGAAUUCCUGGUGUAGCGGUGGAAUGCGCAGAUAUCAGGAGGAACACCAAUAGCGAAGGCAGCUCGCUGGGACGGUAUUGACGCUAAGGCGCGAAAGCGUGGGGAGCGAUCCGG